GACUACAUCGAUAAUGACAUAAAUGAACUAAACUUUAAUGAACGACGUGAACUCACACAACAUGAAAUUAACAUCGAGUUGAAAGAUUUUUCAUUCGAUAGAAGGACAACUAGUAUAUGAAUAUAUAUAUAUAUAUAUAUAUAUAUAUAUAUAUAUAUUUGAGUUUUAAAUUUACAGUGAUAAGAUGGUUAAUGACAACAAUUGUAAUUGGCCAAGGGCAAAAUUAAGCCAUUUGAUUAUUUUGGAUCAUCUUGUUUAGCGAAA
rnacentral:lncRNA from 1 species